rnacentral:pre_miRNA from 1 species
GGUGUCUGGAAUGAGGUUUGAUCCAAGAUCCUUCCUUCUAAUCAUCCAUCUUAAUUUGUCUCAUAUAUUAUCACUUCUUAAUCCUCUGUCAAUCGAUCCAUCCAUCGAUCGAUGUGGGUUCUUCUUAUUUCCAUGGAUCGAUCUCGGACCAGGCUUCAUUCCUUACACC